rnacentral:rRNA from 1 species
GGAACUGAGACACGGUCCAGACUCCUACGGGAGGCAGCAGUGGGGAAUAUUGCACAAUGGGGGAAACCCUGAUGCAGCAACGCCGCGUGCGGGAUGAAGGUCUUCGGGUCGUAAACCGCUGUCAGGAGGGAAGAAAUCGCCCCGGUAAAUAGCCGGGGUGGAUGACGGUACCUCCAGAGGAAGCCCCGGCUAACUCCGUGCCAGCAGCCGCGGUAAGACGGAGGGGGCGAGCGUUGUUCGGAAUUAUUGGGCGUAAAGCGCGCGUAGGCGGUCGGGUCAGUCGGACGUGAAAGCCCAGGGCUCAACCCUGGAAGGGCGUUCGAUACUGCCCGACUUGAGUACGGGAGAGGAGAGCGGAAUUCCCAGUGUAGCGGUGAAAUGCGUAGAUAUUGGGAGGAACACCAGUGGCGAAGGCGGCUCUCUGGACCGUUACUGACGCUGAGGUGCGAAAGCUAGGGGAGCAAACGGGAUUAGAUACCCCGGUAGUCCUAGCCGUAAACGAUGGGCACUAGGUGUUGGGGGUAUCGACCCCUCCAGUGCCGGAGCUAACGCAUUAAGUGCCCCGCCUGGGGAGUACGGU